GGCGUUUGACUGCUGGAGGCCACCGAGAAGAAGAAGGAAGCAGCGGUGGCGGCUGCUGCGGCGGUUGCAGCGGGGGGCCGGGGUGGGCGCCGCGGUCCGGGCCGGGCAGUGAGGCGCGGGCGGCCGGGCCGGUGGGCUGGGCGGCGGGCCCGGCGGCCGCUCCCGCGCCUGGCGGCCCGAUGUGGCUGCAGCAGCGGCUCAAGGGGCUGCCGGGACUGCUGUCGAGCAGCUGGGCCCGCCGCCUCCUCUGCCUGCUCGGCCUCCUGCUGCUGCUUUUGUGGUUUGGGGGGUCCGGCGCGCGGCGGGCGGCGGGCGGCCUGCACCUGCUUCCCUGGUCCCGCGGUGAACCGGGCGCCGCCGAGCCGUCUGCCUGCCUGGAGGCGGCCACCCGCGCCUGGCGCGGCCUGCGGGAGCGCGGCGAGGCGGUACCGCUGGGCCCUGGAGUGCCGGCCCUGGUGGCCAACGGCUUCCUGGCUCUGGACGUGGCCGCCAACCGGUUGUGGGUGACCCCCGGGGAGCGAGAGCCCGCCGUGGCGCCGGACUUCGUGCCCUUCGUGCAGCUGCGCCCGCUGAGCGCGCUGGCUGAAGCUGGAGAGGCGGUGCUGCUGCUGCGGGAGGGGCUGCUGCGCCGCGUGCGUUGCCUGCAGCUCGGGUCCCCAGGUCCUGGCCCCGUGGCCGCCGGCCCCGGGCCCGCCUCCAUCUCUGGCCUUGCCGCGGGGUCCGGCCGCGACUGCGUGCUGCUGCAAGAGGACUUUCUGGCGCACCGGGGCCGACCCCACGUCUAUCUGCAGCGCAUCCAGCUCAACAACCCCACGGAGCGCGUGGCCGCGCUGCAGACUGUGGGGCCCACUGCCGGCCCAGCCCUCAAGGCCUUCACCAGUACCCUAGAGAAGGUCGGAGACCAUCAAUUCCUCCUCUACUCAGGCCGGUCCCCGCCUACGCCCACUGGGUUGGUGCACCUGGUGGUGGUGGCCGCCAAGAAGCUAGUGGACCGCCUCCAAGUGGCUCCCAAGACGCAGCUGGAUGAGACGGUGCUGUGGGUGGUGCACGUCUCUGGCCCCAUUAACUCCCAGGUGCUCAAAAGCAAAGCAGCCAAGGAGCUCAAGGCGCUGCAGGACUUGGCCCGGAAGGAAAUGCUGGAGCUCUUGGAGAUGCCAGCCGCGGAGCUUCUUCAAGACCACCAGCUCCUCUGGGCUCAGCUCUUCAGCCCAGGAGUGGAAAUGAAGAAGAUCACUGAUACCCACACGCCGUCUGGCCUGACCGUGAACCUGACACUCUACUACAUGCUCUCCUGCUCGCCAGCCCCGCUGCUCAGCCCUGCCCUGAGCCACAGGGAGCGAGACCAGAUGGAGUCGACGCUCAACUAUGAAGAUCACUGCUUCAGCGGCCACGCCACCAUGCACGCCGAGAACCUGUGGCCGGGACGGCUGUCCUCUGUCCAGCAGAUCCUGCAGCUGUCCGACCUGUGGAGGCUGACCCUCCAGAAGCGUGGCUGCAAGGGGCUGGUGAAGGUCGGCGCCCCAGGCAUCCUGCAGGGCAUGGUGCUCAGCUUUGGGGGGCUGCAGUUCACGGAGAACCAUCUCCAGUUCCAGGCUGACCCUGACGUGCUGCACAACAGCUAUGCAUUGCAUGGCAUCCGCUACAAGAAUGACCAUAUCAACCUGGCCGUACUGGCGGACGCCGAGGGCAAGCCCUACCUACAUGUGUCCGUGGAGUCCCGCGGCCAGCCUGUCAAGAUCUAUGCCUGCGAGGCGGGCUGCCUGGACGAGCCAGUGGAGCUGACCUCGGCGCCCACGGGCCACACCUUCUCGGUCAUGGUGACGCAGCCCAUCACGCCGCUGCUCUAUAUCUCCACCGACCUCACACACCUGCAGGACCUGCGGCACACGCUGCACCUCAAGGCCAUUCUGGCCCAUGAUGAGCACAUGGCCCAGCAGGAUCCCGGGCUGCCCUUCCUCUUCUGGUUCAGCGUGGCCUCCCUCAUCACCCUCUUCCACCUCUUCCUCUUCAAGCUCAUCUACAACGAGUACUGUGGGCCUGGAGCCAAGCCCCUCUUCAGGAGUAAGAGGUCAGCCCCUUGUUCCAGGCCUUGGACCGGAGUGGCCAUCUCCUUAGCAUAGGACACGGGACAGAAGCAUUCCCCUGCAGUUUCCUGAGACAUGUUUGCCUCUGGAAGCGGUGAUUUUGUCCAUCAUUGCUGCGAGACUCAUCGGGGCAGCAUCCUGGGAUCAGCAUUGCUGUCAUGGGGAAGAUCCCAGUGUCUGAGUGAACUAACAGUCCUGCUCUCAGCCACCAUUUGCACAAGACACCCAGCACUGAAAGUCCUGCUGCCAGGAGCAAGGGAUCCUUUGGAAGCACCCGCCCUUUGUGCCUUGUUGGGGGAAACCAGUGACGCAGAAGCGAAUGUGGAUACACCAGAGUUUGCAUUGGAAGGAACGAGUGUCACGUGGGGAGGGAAGGGGCCAGUGGACCUUUUGUAAGCUUUCCACUCAAUAAAACGAACCUGUAUGGCAAAUACUUGAAAUGGAACUCACUCCUUCCACUUUCCCCCUUUCUUCUGUCCCAGGAAAUAGACCGUCUUUUGAAAAGACUCUUGUCUGGGGAAAGUUCUGUCCUUUUCCGAAUUUAUCAUGUUCUUUCUUGAUGAAGUUUUAAUUUAUUUGUGUUGAGAUUUUGCUAGAUGGCUUUUGCAUCCCCUGUAGAUGGUGAGUGUUGGCAGUGAUGUCCGUCUCAGCCUUCGGAGGCCCCACGGUCCCGAGGCUGGGCCGGGGUCUCCAGGGUGGCUGUGCUGCUGCCUGGAGGAGGGUGCGGGUUGCGCUAUCAUCCUCGGGUUUGCACGCCCUUUCUUAUGAGCCUGUGGACAUCUGUGGUUUUGUACUUUGGGGGCUUCAGGGGAGGUGUUUAACUUUCUAGCGAUUGAUGAUUGUCAGGUUUUGAAAUACCAAAGCUUUUUUGUUCUGUUUUUAAAUAAAUAUCUUUCAAAUUUC